AUUGAACGCUGGCGGCAUGCCUUACACAUGCAAGUCGAGCGCGAAAGGGGGCAACCCCGAGUAGAGCGGCGGACGGGUGAGUAACACAUCGGAACGUGCCCAGUAGUGGGGGACAACCUCGAGAAAUCGAGGCUAAUACCGCAUACGACCCACGGGUGAAAGCGGGGGACCGCAAGGCCUCGCGCUAUUGGAGCGGCCGAUGUCCGAUUAGCUAGUUGGCGGGGUAAGAGCCCACCAAGGCGACGAUCGGUAGCUGGUCUGAGAGGACGACCAGCCACACUGGGACUGAGACACGGCCCAGACUCCUACGGGAGGCAGCAGUGGGGAAUUUGGACAAUGGGGGCAACCCUGAUCCAGCCAUGCCGCGUGCGGGAAGAAGGCCU
rnacentral:rRNA from 1 species